CAGUCGCCACGGUAAUACGUAGGUCCCGAGCGUUGUCCGGAUUUAUUGGGCGUAAAGCGAGCGCAGGCGGUUAGAUAAGUCUGAAGUUAAAGGCUGUGGCUUAACCAUAGUACGCUUUGGAAACUGUUUAACUUGAGUGCAAGAGGGGAGAGUGGAAUUCCAUGUGUAGCGGUGAAAUGCGUAGAUAUAUGGAGGAACACCGGUGGCGAAAGCGGCUCUCUGGCUUGUAACUGACGCUGAGGCUCGAAAGCGUGGGGAGCAAACAGGAUUAGAUACCCCGGUAGUCCCUGUCUCUUAUACC
rnacentral:rRNA from 1 species